GAUGAACGCUGGCGGCGUGCCUAAUACAUGCAAGUCGAGCGAACAGACGAGGAGCUUGCUCCUCUGACGUUAGCGGCGGACGGGUGAGUAACACGUGGAUAACCUACCUAUAAGACUGGGAUAACUUCGGGAAACCGGAGCUAAUACCGGAUAAUAUAUUGAACCGCAUGGUUCAAUAGUUAAAGACGGUUUUGCUGUCACUUAUAGAUGGAUCCGCGCCGCAUUAGCUAGUUGGUAAGGUAACGGCUUACCAAGGCAACGAUGCGUAGCCGACCUGAGAGGAUGAUCGGCCACACUGGAACUGAGACACGGUCCAGACUCCUACGGGAGGCAGCAGUAGGGAAUAUUCCGCAAUGGGCGAAAGCCUGACGGAGCAACGCCGCGUGAGUGAUGAAGGUCUUCGGAUCGUAAAACUCUGUUAUUAGGGAAGAACAAAUGUGUAAGUAACUAUGCACGUCUUGACGGUACCUAAUCAGAAAGCCACGGCUAACUACGUG
rnacentral:rRNA from 1 species